CUGCGUUCACUGCUCUCCACGCUUCUCUCAGUCGACGGCUCGGUGGCCGACGUACACGUUCAGACGAGUGUGGGUAUUACAGUGGAGAGUGUAUGUGCCGCAUACUUGAAGAAACUACAAUUACCGUGUGUUCUCCGAGUGAUCUUCGACGAUCGGCAAGACUGGACAAAUUACUUAACUUCAGAGCUUCAACAAAAACUAAGCGGCAAAUAAACGAAAGAAAAAGAAGCUUUCGACAAAGGAAGACGGAUAAUGCAGAGUGAAGCGGGUGGAUA